rnacentral:lncRNA from 1 species
AACUUUACUCACUUCUUUGAUAUAUUAAUCUAAAGAUCUGUAUACUUUUUGGUUUUGAUUCAAAAUUUUAUUUUGGUAAUAUUUAGUUUUUGUAAAAAAAAAAACAGGGUGGGGGGGUUUCACAUGUCCCGCCGUGUCUCUAAAACAAUAUAUGGUUAUUGCUUAAAACUUUCUCAUAAACUAUUUAUGAUUAUUGCAUAAGACUUCCACAUAAGACAUCGGGCGUAUCAUGCGCUCAUGGCGCAGCUGUUUAUUUUUGUAUAUGAGAUCAUACAGUCUAUACGCUUUUGAAACUCACCCUGUUUAACCAAACACUUUUCUUUGUAAGAGUUAUCUCCCCAAACACUGUUUUUCUUGUUAUCAGAUCUCCUCCGCAACUGUAAAAGAAAGCGACAAAUUUAUUUUUCAAAAUUGCUCGUUAUAUCCUCAGGAUGUUACGUUUUAUUUUGACCGAAGCUUUACGAAUACCCCAUAUGAGAGUAAUUUCCCCUUUUGUAUUGAAAUAAGUGAAAUAAAUUUGUAACUGGAAAACCAUAAGUGAUAGAGGCCUAGGGUCUUUUGAUUUGAGGCCCUUGGUCAAAAAGUAUGAAAAUGAGGUCAAGGUCAAAGGUCAAGUUCAUGAUCAAAUUUUUGAUUUUGGCUUGUUAUCUCUUAUUUCGUAACAUGUAAAUUUUACUUACGUAACAUUUAAUGCGAGUUUUGCCC